CAGCCGCCACGGUAAUACGUAGGUGGCAAGCGUUGUCCGGAAUUAUUGGGCGUAAAGGGAUCGCAGGCGGUUUCUUAAGUCUGAUGUGAAGGCCCCCGGCUCAACCGGGGAGGGUCAUUGGAAACUGGGAAACUUGAGUGCAGAAGAGGAGAGUGGAAUUCCACGUGUAGCGGUGAAAUGCGUAGAGAUGUGGAGGAACACCAGUGGCGAAGGCGACUCUCUGGUCUGUAACUGACGCUGAGGAGCGAAAGCGUGGGGAGCGUACAGGAUUAGAUACCCGCGUAGUCCCUGUCUCUUAUAC
rnacentral:rRNA from 1 species